rnacentral:tRNA from 1 species
GGAGGGGUGCUCCGAAUGGUAAGGAACCAGUCUUGAAAACUGGCGCCCGUAAGGGCUUGCAGGUUCGAGUCCUGUCCCCUCCGCAA